rnacentral:lncRNA from 1 species
UCCGGCGUUCCUCUCCACCGUCGACGGUAUUAUCAUCAAUAAGACCCCUAUCCUCCUGCAUGAACUUCUGAAUUUCUGGGGUUAGGGUUAUUAGUUUUUGGGAGCGGUGCUGGGAAAGAGGAAGAAGACCAAGAAAGGAAAGGAAAGGAAAGGAAAAUGAGAAGCUCGGGUGAUGGAGGUAAUGCUGGAGAAGGGCUACUGGUGGUGGGAUCAAUUCUAGGAGGAGGUGGAGAUCAUAGCGGAGGAUUCGAAGGCCGUGUGAAUGACAUAGAAGAAGAGGAGGAGCUCAAGGCUGCGGAGAAAAAGGACAACAGUAGAGUAUCAGACUUGGAUCUAGCUGAGAUCAACUUUUGUUUUCACGGGACAUGUGAAUCCUCUCUCUGAUUUGGUUUUGUCUAAAUUUCACGAAUUUUAAUCCUGAAGUAAAAAAUGAUGGUUCUGACUCGAUUGAAUGUUAGUAGUGAUGUACAUAAAGAAUCAGCCUGUACCUAGCUGACAAUGCUAAUUCUCUGUAAAUUUGUGUUAAUCAAAAUUUGCACAUACAUACGAGCAAUAUUUCUUCAAUUAAAUAAUAUUCACUUUACGACAAUUUUUGUUUUAUGCUAUUCUUAAGAUAAGAUUUGUAUCGGUGAUGAUAGCUUUAUGUUUUGUCAAUUUAUCAGGCAAACCAAUAAUUGAAAUUCUGCCAAGAAAUCUAGGAGCAGAAGAUGUAUGCUUUAGGUGUACGUGAAUCUUUAAGCCGUUCCUUUCUAGGACAAUUUCUAAGACUGUUUUUCUUUUACCCAAAGGUUUUCAAGCUUUGGGUGCCUGCGGCCGGCUCGACGGGUGGCAUCAGCAAGCGCCGGCCUCGGCACUGCUGCGGGUGGUUAUAUGGUGGGCGGAGCACACUAGUGGGCUUCAACGUCAGGGUACGGUGGCGAGCUAAAUCCUGAGUCCUGCUAGGCUUUUUUUGGUUCAGGUUUUGUUAUUGUUUUCAUUCGGGGUUAUGUGGCGAGCAAACCUAGCAUUUGCAGUUGUUUGUUUCAGAAUUUCAUGUCCUGACAUCAAAUUUCGAUACAUAAUGUAAAUCCUGCCAACAAAUCUAUGUUAUGGGCUUACUAGUUCUCUUCAUAUCUCUAUGCUGAUUUUGUGUGCAAUUUCAAUGAAUACUUUCUAUUUUAUUCAGGGAUACGUUCAGCAUGCUUGUGAG